AUGGAGAUUUUCUUAAGUUUGUGCUUUGUUACCGUAGCCACGGUGCUAGUCCUUUGCGACAAAACCAAGACCAAGAAAAGGUUGCCCCCUGGACCAUGGACCCUUCCGAUCAUCGGUAGCCUCCACCACCUUGUCGGCCAGCUCCCGCACCAGGCCCUGGCGGAGCUGUCUCGCUGGCACGACCCGCUCAUGUACCUCAAGUUCGGCGAGGUCCCCACCGUGGUAGUCUCCAGCGCCGAGGCGGCGGCACUGGUCAUGAAGACCAUCGACCCUACCUUCGCGGACCGGGGAAGCGGUGUCACGCUGGACAUCGCCGGCUGCGACGGGAAGGGGAUCAUGCUGGCCCCCUACAGCGACCGUUGGCGGUAA
rnacentral:rRNA from 1 species